UAAUACAUGCAAGUCGAACGCUUCUUUCCUCCCGAGUGCUUGCACUCAAUUGGAAAGAGGAGUGGCGGACGGGUGAGUAACACGUGGGUAACCUACCCAUCAGAGGGGGAUAACACUUGGAAACAGGUGCUAAUACCGCAUAACAGUUUAUGCCGCAUGGCAUAAGAGUGAAAGGCGCUUUCGGGUGUCGCUGAUGGAUGGACCCGCGGUGCAUUAGCUAGUUGGUGAGGUAACGGCUCACCAAGGCCACGAUGCAUAGCCGACCUGAGAGGGUGAUCGGCCACACUGGGACUGAGACACGGCCCAGACUCCUACGGGAGGCAGCAGUAGGGAAUCUUCGGCAAUGGACGAAAGUCUGACCGAGCAACGCCGCGUGAGUGAAGAAGGUUUUCGGAUCGUAAAACUCUGUUGUUAGAGAAGAACAAGGACGUUAGUAACUGAACGUCCCCUGACGGUAUCUAACCAGAAAGCCACGGCUAACUACGUGCCAGCAGCCGCGGUAAUACGUAGGUGGCAAGCGUUGUCCGGAUUUAUUGGGCGUAAAGCGAGCGCAGGCGGUUUCUUAAGUCUGAUGUGAAAGCCCCCGGCUCAACCGGGGAGGGUCAUUGGAAACUGGGAGACUUGAGUGCAGAAGAGGAGAGUGGAAUUCCAUGUGUAGCGGUGAAAUGCGUAGAUAUAUGGAGGAACACCAGUGGCGAAGGCGGCUCUCUGGUCUGUAACUGACGCUGAGGCUCGAAA
rnacentral:rRNA from 1 species